AGCAGCCGCGGUAAUUCCAGCUCCAAUAGCGUAUAUUAAAGUUGUUGCAGUUAAAAAGCUCGUAGUUGAAUUUCGGGAUCAAUUAAUUGGUCGUGCCUCUGGUACGCACUGGUUUUAUUGGUUUCUCCCUUCUGACGAACCACGAUGUCAUUAAUUUGGUGUCGUGGAGAAUCAGGACUGUUACUUUGAAAAAUUAGAGUGUUUAAAGCAGGCUAACGCUUGAAUACAUUAGCAUGGAAUAAUGAAAUAGGACGUUUGAUCCUAUUUUGUUGGUUUCUAGGAUCGACGUAAUGAUUAAUAGGGAUAGUUGGGGGCAUUAGUAUUCAAUUGUCAGAGGUGAAAUUCUUGGAUUUAUUGAAGACUAACUACUGCGAAAGCAUUUGCCAAGGAUGUUUUCAUUAAUCAAGAACGAAAGUUAGGGGAUCGAAGACGAUCAGAUACCGUCGUAGUCUUAACCAUAAACUAUGCCGACUAGGGAUCGGAUGAUGUUAAUUUUUAAUGACUCAUUCGGCGCCUUACG
rnacentral:rRNA from 1 species